GAGGGUAUAGCUCAGUGGGUAGAGCACAUGCUUAGCGUGCACGAGGUCCUCGGUUCAAUUCCCAGUACCUCCU
rnacentral:tRNA from 1 species